UGCUCCAGUAGCCCAAUUGGUAGAGGCACUUGAUUUAGGAUCAUGUCAGUGAUGAGUUCGAAUCUCUCCUGGAGUACCAU
rnacentral:tRNA from 1 species